rnacentral:miRNA from 1 species
GCCGUCUGUUGCUCUGUGAAGCC